AACAAACAGUGAGGUCCCUGCACAAAGGGCUCAAAAUCUCACAGAUGUAACAAACCCGACUUUCGGGGUGACAGCAACUCUGAAGACAAUCUGUCUCCGUUCACUCUGUUGCCUGCAUCAACUACGCUUCCCUCUGCCAACCGUGUUUGGAAUGCGCUGUUUUCUAACAGUCCUCGGAGUGGAGACCCCUCCACCCUGCUUCCCUUUAGGACUAACCUAUCGGAAAACAAUUGCAAUUGGUACCCUCGCAGUCACAGCGUCAAAGAAGAGUAAUGGAUACACUGGACGGAACCGUUUUCAGGCAUAAAAAGUGAAUGCAGCUGGAAACACUCAUAUCACAGGAAUUAUGCCAGUCUCAGGAACACAACUGUCUACCCGUCAGAGGAGGACGUUGAGUCCUGCAAUCACAAGCCACGCCCACACACACAGGAAUCGCCUGUAUGUCCGCUGCCUGACUCUGCAGAUGAAGCCACGCUCGCCUUCCUGAGCGCACAAGCCCGAAGCGCGUGCAUCCCACGCGCCCCGCCGACAAGUGACUCACCUUGGAAGCUGUCGGAAGUCUCCCGAGUACUCUUCAUAUUUAUAGGUCACAAGAUGCCAGUCAGAGUUGUAGGUUUUGAUGCACUGUCGGGAGCGGGGUGGGGUUAGAAAAAAAAAAGACAAAAACGUAGAAAGUCAGGUGACUAGAGAUACAAAGUUCUGUCGUCAAUCAUCUACUGCCAAAAUUCUACUUGCAGAGCCUCUGAGCCAGUGAAACACGACCCUCGGGAAAGAUACCCUUUCAAGUGAUCAAUAUUAAUGAUCUGACAAAAGCUUUUAUAUGGUGACAUUGAAAUAUCAAUUACUAUCCCUGGCUUAUAACCAUUAGUUUUUUAUAAACAACAACAAAAACCCACCAAAGUGAUGUUGCUACGGGGGUUUGAACAGGAACUGCCCCUGGAGGCUCUUACAUAUCAAUGUUUGAUUCCCAGUUGGUAGAACUGUUUGGGAAGGAUCAGGAGGUGUGGUCUUGUUAGAGGGUGUGGCCUUAUUGGAGGAGGUGUGUCACCAGAAGGAGUAGAGCUUUGAGGUUUCAAAAGCCUGUACCAUUCCUAAAGUCUCUCACUCAGGCUUGUGCUUGUGAGUGAAGAUGUGCAUUCCCAGUUGCUGCCUCAGGAGCGUGUCUGCCCGCCACAACAGCCAUGGACUCCCCCUCUGAAAUGCAAGCCACCAGCAAACUCUUCCAUAAGCUACCUUGGCCACGGUGUCUCGCCACAACAAUGGAAAAGUUGCUAAGACAGUUGCACUUAUUUAUUUGUGUGUGGGGAAGGCAUGUGACGGGCCCUCGCAGGCCUGGACUUGGCAAGCAUGGCGGCGCAGGUGGGCCUUGACCCUCCCUAUUUCCUCUUCCUUACAAACCAUAGAUUGUACCCCUAAAGCUAGCCACUGAGGUCUAUUCCUCAUUGGCCAGACUCAUUUCCCAGGCUGACUACCGAAGUCCAGCAACCAGAAGCUCCCUUCGGCUAACCUAAUUAACCUGUGUUGUGGGAGGAUGGCCUUUGUGUACACUGUGAAGGUGUGUCGCUCUGACCAGCUUCAUAAAAAACUGAACGGCCAAUAGCUAGGUGGCGGGAUUUCAGGACAUGGAGGAUGCUGGGAAGAAGAUAGUGGAGACGCCAGGAGACACAGAGCAAUUGGGAUGGGGGCUAAGGAAAUGAGGUAAUAAAGUCACAAGGCAGAAAGAAAAUGAAUGGAAAUGGGUUAAGUUAUAAAAUCUAGUGAGAAACAAGCCUAAGCUAUCGGCCAAGCUUUCAUCAUUUAUAAUAAGUUUCUAUGUUUUGUUUUGUUUUUGCGAGCUGGUGGCCCAAAGAAAAAUUCGUUUAGGAACAUGUCCAGUCAAAAUACAUACCAUUGCAUCCUAGCCCACUCUAACAGAAGCCUCCCUCCCGUUCUCUUCUUUAAAAUCAUACACGCAAGGUCAUUUGCUGCUGUUUUCCUGAGUCAGAAAGCAGCUACUCCUCUUCCCUGCUGAAUAAAUGAUCUCUCUGUGUAAUAGGCA